rnacentral:rRNA from 1 species
AAUCAACGCUGGCGGCGUGCCUCAGACAUGCAAGUCGAACGAUUAAACUUUCCUUCGGGAAAGAUGUAAAGUGGCGCACGGGUGAGUAACACGUAAGUAAUCUACCUUCGAGUGGGGAAUAACGUCCGGAAACGGACGCUAAUACCGCAUAAUGCAGCGGCACCUAAUGGUGACAGUUGUUAAAGAUUUAUCGCUUGAAGAGGAGCUUGCGUCAGACUAGCUAGUUGGUAAGGUAAGGGCUUACCAAGGCUACGAUCUGUAACCGGUCUAAGAGGACGGUCGGUCGCACUGACACUGAAUAACGGGUCAGACUCCUACGGGAGGCAGCAGUCGGGAAUUGUGGGCAAUGGUCGAAGGCCUGACCCAGCAACGCCGCGUGAAGGAUGAAGUAUUUCGGUAUGUAAACUUCGAAAGAAUGGGAAGAAUCAAUGACGGUACCAUUUAUAAGGUCCGGCUAACUACGUGCCAGCAGCCGCGGUAACAC